ensembl:lncRNA
CUCAGAGUGCUCCUUGGAUACUGGAGGGUCACCUGCAGCCUGCAUGGUGGGGUCUUGCAUUGGGAAGAGCUUUGUGUGACUCUGCAUCUCUCUCAGACCUUCCUUAACAAGGAAGCUUCCCUUGAGCUUGCUGUGGAGAAGAGAUACAUUCCCAUUUUCACCUACUCUGUUUUAUUCACUCUUCCUCUUUUCCAGGAUUAUAUUUUUUCUAAGGUGCAUCAUUGUCAGAGAAGUAAUAUAUGAAAACACAUACAAUCAAGGCCUUGGGACCAUUGAAUGAACAUUCCUCUGUCUUCUGGAGAACCUUCUAUUCCCUUGAGACUUGCUUUCUGACUGCUGUUGGAGAUACAACCUUGGCAGGCAGGUUACAGGGCAGAGCAGAGACCAGGGGGACAGAACCCCGUCACUGAGCCAGAGCUGCAGCAGUGCUGACAGUAUCUAGGUCAGAAUGCAGCGAUUCUCCGUGGAUGAUGGAUGGCUGCAGAGCUGAAGGCCAGCACUGGCAGUGGAGCCAAGCACUCCUUUUCCAUCCAAAGGGCACAAAAUCCCCCCUCAUCCAUCCAGCAUCAUUGGGAGGGGGCCCCAUGCCAUAGCCACCAGAGCUGAACUAAUGCCCAUCACUGAUCACUGCUCCACAGAGCCGAGAAAUCAGCGUUGCCAUGGGAUUCGGAUACAAUAAGCCAAAGGAUCUGGAUAUCAACCAAGUGCCCAGCUACCAGGGCCCUAAAAACAAAACUGAUGCUGAAUCUCUCCUCUAAAAACGUCACACUUCUCUUUCUCGCACAGGAGAACAAUGUCAAAUGUUACCCCAUAUUAUUCUCGUGUUUUGAAUAUCUGCACUUUGAAGUUUGUUUGGCUCCAGGCAAGCUUGUGCACUCAAACAUUUAUGUGCUUCCUCCAAACACCUUCAUUGGCCUAAUGAAAGAUAAUGCCUCAGCCAACAACCGUACUGUCCUCAAUGAGAUACAGCUUUGGAAGCCAGCCCACCAACCAUUCACAGACCAUAUAUCACAACGAUGACCAUGAACCUUCUCCCUCCUGCUACUGUGCCUCAGCCCGCUGUGACCAGAUCAUGAAAGGAUCAGUGCUUUCCCUAUAUGUCAUCCCCUAGCACUGUAAGACUGGCACCUGUCUCUCAAGAUUUGUGCUAAGCCCUGGGUCUUCCUCAGAGAUUGAUUCAUGCAGCCAUGGCUUUCAAUGUCAGAAGAGACCACAGGAUCACCCUGCCUGGUAGCAGAGGUCAUCAUUUUCACAGGGUUCACACCAACUCAUGCUUUGUUGAAGCACGUCCCUCAAACAGAUGACAGUCCCCUCUUGAUUUGACAGCUGCAGAGGAUGGAAGAUCUGUAUCUUCCCACUACUGACAGAAGUUUAUAAGGUCAUUCGUGAGGUUUAUUCCCAUUUAUUGAAAGCACCAGGGGAACUUUCCUGUUUGUCUUGAUUCCUGGCAGAAGACAACAUCUAGUUCUGUGCUCCUGACCUAAACUGUUAAACUGUGAUGCCAACCAUCUAACCAGCCUGCCUUCCCAGCAAGGCCUUACUGUCUAUGAAGUGCCCUAUAACCUGGGAUUUUGAGUAGCAAUACUAAGAAAAGGAGGGUGCCAAAAAAAAUGUUCACGCUUCUGAGCUGCUUCUGCAAUGAUGGGGAAAGAGGGCUGAUAUUAACAAGUGUUUGGGGGCAGGAACUGUCUGUUAUUUGUAUUUCAGGCGAUAGCUAACACAUUAUAGGCGUUAAUCUAAUAAUAUUCACUGGCUGUCUGAUACAGGAUGCUUUGUCUGAACUAGCCAGCCUAACACAGAUCGCCGCUUUGUUUCUGCCAUAGUAGAACUUACCAGAACAGCAUUUUUUACUAUGAACAUUUCUGCCUCAAUCCUGCGCGUUCUGAUGCUGGGUAACUUCCUCUCCCAACUGGCACUGAACAAAAAGACCUGGAGUAUAAACCACGUGGUUUAGCGAGCACACAGUGCUUGCUCAUCGUAGGUGGGCACACACAGAGGUGCAGCAGCUGACUGGCCACCACGACCUCAUGCAGAUCUCAGCUUGUUCCCUCACCCACAGCAGUGCCCUCAUGAUGCAGUGCUGUUGUUCAGUUCAGUACAGAGAUGGCUGUGCAAAGUCUCAUUGAUGAGAACAGGGGGCAGUUUUUGAAGAUUAUAUAGUGCACAUUUAAUUAAUAAAUCCCUAUUAGUGGCCCUGGUUAGAAAAAGACACGGCUUCUGCACCUUUUCAGCUUGCAGAUGUGAUGCACCAAAAAAUUCCCUUUCUGUUCUCAGCUCCGCGAUGUGGAUAUCCUCACUGGGAGCUGACAGAAAGCAAGGCACAGGAAGGACCUCCUCCACUGUGUGUUCUGUGCCCACCAAAGCUGCUCUUAUCUACCUCCGGAGAAGACAGAAAAAAGCAAUCUUGUGGCCCAGACAGAUCCCGGUGGAGCAGGAAGCACUGCACCACACAGGGUAAAACUGGUACAAAAUGUUACUAAUCAAACACGUGGAAAGAAACGAAGGGGAGAGAGAACAAAACUGUCAUUACCCACUAUUUUGACUGUUGAAUCUGGACUAUUCAUAGUAACACACCAAGUGUAUCCAUCCUACUGCAGUAACGAGUGACAGCCGACUACUCAACAAUUAGGUUUUCCUUCUCCACCUCCAAAAUUAAGGUCGUAACCUCUUGUAUUUACUUUCGGGAUGUGGUAAAUUAGAGCUUUGGCUUCAUUGCAAAAAUUAAUUAAAGCAGUCACACAAUGGUGCCAUUCAUUGCUGUUCUCGUCCCUCCCCGCAGUCUGUCCUCAUGUCAGCUCUCUUUGGUUUUAGUCCCAAAUUCCAGUACGUGCUCGCCUGAAUGUAUUAUUUGGAAAGCACACGCCGGCAGCCUUCAGCCCCAUCUUACCUACCCAGAAGCUUUCACCUGUGUAGUUUGCAGCAGAACUGGGCUCACAGGAAAGCACUCACCUCAAGAUUUCUCCUCACCGACAUCCCAGGUGUCUGGUUCCGUAAAAGAGGAUCGGUGUUCAAGUUGCUUUCAUCAGAAUUUCAAAAAGUAAACACAGCUAAAUAGGAAGAAAAAUAUAUAUAUUCCAUACUUUUGUGGAGCUGGAAGUCUGCCCAUUGAAAUAUGUUGUGGCUUUUUUUUUUUUUUUCAGAAGCCUUUCUUUUGUGAAUGUAAUGCUUGUUUUCAAAGCUGGAUUUAUAGACUGGCAAAAUAAUGUUCUCCUUUAUAGGAGAAAGUGUUGCAUAACGUUUCAUAAGACCACAUCCCGAGGUGGUUCAGCACGCUGUGUGUACCGAUAAACACGGACAGCAGAGAGUUCAGGAAUACUGACCUACUAAAACGUGUGGCUUGCUGAGAACUCUGAUUUCAUAUCCUAUCUAAAGGCUAAAGCAAAAGGAUUGUCUGACAAAGGUUUGGGCUAAUGCAGAUGCAGGAGGUACAAUACAGCAGGCAACUUUGGCACUUCUAUGCAGUUCUACUGAAGUCGAAGUUGACGCUGCUAAGAAGAAAGGCACACAAACUGUUUGCAGAAACGACACCUAUUAUAGGCUUGAUUUCUUCAGAGUGCUUAAUACAAACAUAAACUUUCUUUUUUUUAAUCUUACUGCUCACCUUCAUGAGUGUACUGAGGAAAUUUAAUCCAAACACCCAGAGCAGGGGCCCAGGGCCUUGUCCAGGUGGCUUUUGAUCUCUAAGGAGACACCACAGCCUCUCUGGGCAACCUGUGUCAGUGCCCAGCCACCUGCAUGGCACACAAGUGCUUUCUGAUGUUCAAGGGGAAUCUCCUGUGUUCCAGUUCGUGCUAAUGCCUCUUGUCCUGCAAGAGGUUUAGGAGAUGGCUGGAAGGACGCCUUUACUGAACGUACCAACCUGAGCCAGCAAAUGUUUGGUUUUUUAAACGCAUCCAGGGAUGGUGACUCAACCACCUCCCUGGGGAGCCUAUUCCAGUGCUUAACAACCCUUUCUGUAAAGAAGUGUUUCCUGAUAGCCAACCUAUACUUACCUGGCACAAUUUGAGGCCAUUUCCCCUCAUCCUGUCACCUGUCAGCAGUGAGAAGAGGCCAACCCCACUCUCACUGUAAGCACCUUUCAGAUAUUUGAAAAGAGCAAUAAGGUCUCCCCUCAGCGUCCUUUUCCUCAGACUGAACAGCCCCAGUUUCUUCAGUCUCUCCUCAUAGGACAUAUUCUCCAAGCCCUUCACAAGCCUUGUUGCCCUCCUUUGGACCUGCUCCAGCACCUCACUGUCCUUUCUGUAUUGAGCGGUUAGCAAGAACAUUUCAGCUUUCCACUACCAAAGAACAAAAACCCCACCAGUCUGUAAUGUCCAAGCAUGCACGCCCUGAUUCUCAUCUUUUGUGCCUUGUGAAUAGAGACAGCUGUGGCAUGGACUAUUUUUUCCUAUUUGCUGGGGAGGAGGGAAGAGGAAGAUUGAUAUCAGUCCUUCAAAAAUAAUCAUCUCAUGCCCAGUGUGCUCUGAAUGAACUACAUCCCAUGCUGGAUUUUGAAAAUGUACUGUUAUUUUCGGUUGUGGUUUUUGUUUUUGUUUUUUUUUUUCCAGUGAAAAGCUUACAGCUGAAAAUGAGACUGCAUUGAUAUUUUGCUGCAGAGUUGUUGCCUGUAGGUAGGCUUUAGAUGGAGCUGUUCCGUGCAAAUCAAUCCGGGCAAAGCAAUAGCAGCUGCUAUUUUGCCAGCAAGCAGAAAUGUUUGCAGAGGUACCCACAGUACAG